AUGUUUCAACCAUUUAGACAUGUAAACACUAUUCUCAGCUCAGGGCUGGACAAAAGCAGGGCAGGAACUGGGUUUGGCCUGUAGGCCAUUGCUGAGCAGAGCUGGGAAAGGAACAAAAUGGGGAUCUUACAAGAGCUCCUUUGUUCCUCUUUGCAGGGGGAGGGGGCAUCCUGUCAUGUGGAAGGUGGCAGUGCAGGUCACAGCCCCCCGUUGACAGACAUUCAGGUGGCCUGCAGACACCAGCCACGGCGAACAGACCUGUAGGACCCUCGUGUGCGAGUCGUGGGCUAUAUGAGGGACCCGUGAGUGUCAUCCCAAGUGACUGCACCUGGGGCUCAGUGAGCGGCCAGCGUCACCGGUGUAGGUACGUUGUCCUGCAUGCUGAGCUUUGCUGAGGGAUUUCUAUGCUGGAAUCUUCUGGUCUUCAUGAUAACUCCACGAAGCAGGCCCUAAUCAGAGUCCCACUCUUCAGAGGAGGAAAGUGACUUGCUGAAGGCCACACAAUAGGUCCAUGCCAGGGGCAGGAUGCAGACCAGUCUGCCUGACACUGCCCCAGAGUGUGGCAAUGUGAAUCACAAGGAGCACUGAGGAAGCCACACAGCAGGACUGGGCACCUGGGGAGCCACUGUUGCCGCGGAAUUCUAAACCGAUUCUAGCUCUGAGACUCCAAUCAUCAAGUCAUCUGUCAUCUCCACUGACAUGGAUGCCAGCCAAUUGGUGACCCUGGAUUUCACCAACAUGAACAGAGGGAGGAGCCUAUACUUAUGCUUAGCAUCCAAUCAAAUGGAUCCAUGCUCUGCUGGAAGAGCCUGCCUGAGAAGUAAAGCCACACCGGAAAAAGUAAUUUGAUCCUCUGGAUCCAGCCAUGCCUAAAGACAGAUAUCACCUAAAGUUCCUGGAGACUUUUUUUUCUUUGGCUUAAGCCAAUUUGAGUUGGGUUUUACACUCCUGCAACUGAAAAAUUUCUGGAAAAGACCAACACAUUUGGAAGCCUCAAGAGCGAUGAGGAGAGUGAGGCACAGAGAGGUCCUGUCUGGCUCCAGAGAAAAAACUUGACUCCAUGUUUAUCACUGGAAAAUUUAAUCAUUGGCUAAAGUUGUUGCCUGUCCAACAUCCAUCCUCCUUUCUUUGUACUACCAGAACGCUGAAUUUGGCAGCGCUGCGCCAUGGAGGUAGGGGAUAAGUUAUGAUUGUCUAAGUGAGCUACGACAACCCCAACACUGUUUGCCAGGAAUCUGUCCUGUAUCCCUCCUGACUUGUGACCUGUUGAAGCCAAUGAGGAAGUUGACUGGGGACCUCUGGGGAAGAUUUUUCUCUAUGAUUAAAGAGACACCUGGGAACUCCUUC